GAUGGAAGAACGCAGCGAAAUGCGAUAAGUAAUGUGAAUUGCAGAAUUCAGUGAAUCAUCGAAUCUUUGAACGCACAUUGCGCCCGCCAGUAUUCUGGCGGGCAUGCCUGUUCGAGCGUCAUUUCAACCAUCAAGCCCCCGGCUUGUGUUGGGGACCUGCGGCUGCCGCAGGCCCUGAAAAGCAGUGGCGGGCUCGCUGUCACACCGAGCGUAGUAGCAUACAUCUCGCUCUGGGCGUGCUGCGGGUUCCGGCCGUUAAACCACCUUCAUAACCCAAGGUUGACCUCGGAUCAGGUAGGAAGACCCGCUGAACUUAAGCAUAUCAAUAAGCGGAGGA
rnacentral:misc_RNA from 1 species